rnacentral:rRNA from 1 species
CCUACGGGGGGCUGCAGUGGGGAAUAUUGGACAAUGGGGGCAACCCUGAUCCAGCAAUGCCGCGUGUGUGAAGAAGGCCUGAGGGUUGUAAAGCACUUUCAGUGGGGAGGAGGGUGAUUUGGUUAAGAGCUGAGUUAUUGGACGUUACCCACAGAAGAAGCACCGGCUAACUCCGUGCCAGCAGCCGCGGUAAUACGGAGGGUGCGAGCGUUAAUCGGAAUUACUGGGCGUAAAGCGUGCGUAGGUGGUUGAAUAAGUUAUCUGUGAAAUUCCUGGGCUUAACCUAGGGUGGUCAGAUGAUACUGUUUAACUCGAGUAUGGGAGAGGGUAGUGGAAUUUCCGGUGUAGCGGUGAAAUGCGUAGAGAUCGGAAGGAACACCAGUGGCGAAGGCGGCUACCUGGCCUAAUACUGACACUGAGGCACGAAAGCGUGGGGAGCAAACAGGAUUAGAUACCCCUGUAGUCA